GCGACCGGCUGGCGUGCAGAGUUGCUGCGAGUCCCGGCUCUCUGCGGCCUAUCCUGCCCGGUGCCGGCGCCGGAGCUCCGGAAAAAGAGAAAAAGGAAGGAAAGGUCUCAAGUUAAGUGCAGCCCAAGGUCCUCCUUCCUUAUCAGAUCUCUCAGCCCAAGGUGGAGAAGGAUGAGCAAUUCAAAAUUACUUUCUCUCCUGUGGCUCUCAAGGAAGCGUGUGGGGCAGUGCAAGGAGAUCUGUGAAACAUUAAAAAUAGUGAAAAUAAGAGUUUUAAAAUACUGAAAAUAAAUUUCCCCAAGAGGCUAGAAAGCCUGUAAUAGCAAAUUGUUUCCUGUGCUUAAAAAAAAAAGCAUUAAAUGUGCUUAGAGCAGGGACUAAGGGAAACACAUGCAACCAAUGCAAUGCAUAUAUUCUUUAUCUCUAUUUCCUUAGGCAUAUCUGUCUCCCUAUAUAUUACCACUAUUUACUAUUUAUUACCUGCUUACUGUGUGCUGAGCACUGUUAGCCACCUAACACUCAUUCCUUUAUUGUCCUCUUACAAGGAAGACGCAAGCUGCAUUUGCUUCCGGAAUGGAAGGCAGCUGAGGGGGGCAGCACCUAGGGGUUAUAGAAACUGCUAAUCUAGAGAGCGAGAUAAGCUUGCUCCAAGCUUUCAAAGGAAGAACAAGCAUUUACCGGCCCCCUUUCCUUCCCUUCCUCCCAGCCUUCUCCUUAGCCUUGAGAAGGCAGAGAUUUUCCCUUUGUCUUAAGACAGAAAGGCACACCUUAGGUUUUGUAUUCCCAGAGCGAAUACUACAAUUUACACUGCUGGAUUCCAAGUAGAAACCAACUUUUGUUCAAUCCAGAGAACAGGGGGAGAAAAAAGUUUAUUGGGAAUCUCCUUUUGUACUGUUUUGCUCAACAUCCACCACCCCAGUUUUUUUCUCCUCACAAUUUUCUGUAAAUUUGCUUUCAGGGAAUGACUCACCAAAACCAGAGGAAUGGAUACAAGCAAGGUGAAACACACUUUUCUGGGUGAGAGAAUCAGCUUAAAUGGAUCCUGAAAGAAUUGUUUCAGGAAUUAACGCUGCUGAGUAUUGCUAGAGAAACCCAUAAUCUUGCAGAACAGUACCAGGACAAAUCACAGUCCUCAACACUUUCUAGACUCUCAGGGCAAUGAGAUAAUCCUUGUCAGUCUACCAUCAUGUGUGCCUAAUAAAUGUUGGCAAAACUGAACUGUUAGGGUGUGUUCUUAUCGUGAAUCUGAGAUUUCACAGGAGAGGCACGUUAGUGGGCCUGGCGAGAUGACCAGGAAUCGGCUUGGGCUGAGGUGGUAUACGUGUAGGCAAAUGUAA